rnacentral:rRNA from 1 species
AUGAACGCCGGCGGCGUGCCUAAUACAUGCAAGUCGAGCGAACAGAUGAGGAGCUUGCUCCUCUGACGUUAGCGGCGGACGGGUGAGUAACACGUGGAUAACCUACCUAUAAGACUGGGAUAACUUCGGGAAACCGGAGCUAAUACCGGAUAAUAUAUUGAACCGCAUGGUUCAAUAGUGAAAGACGGUUUUGCUGUCACUUAUAGAUGGAUCCGCGCCGCAUUAGCUAGUUGGUAAGGUAACGGCUUACCAAGGCAACGAUGCGUAGCCGACCUGAGAGGGUGAUCGGCCACACUGGAACUGAGACACGGUCCAGACUCCUACGGGAGGCAGCAGUAGGGAAUCUUCCGCAAUGGGCGAAAGCCUGACGGAGCAACGCCGCGUGAGUGAUGAAGGUCUUCGGAUCGUAAAACUCUGUUAUUAGGGAAGAACAAAUGUGUAAGUAACUAUGCACGUCUUGACGGUACCUAAUCAGAAAGCCACGGCUAACUACGUG